rnacentral:rRNA from 1 species
AAUACUUCUGUGUAAUGCGAUGAGAGGACGGAGAAGGUUAGGUCAGCCUGGCGUUGGUUGUCCAGGUGGAAGACAGUAGGCAUGCAUCUUAGGCAAAUCCGGGGUGCUCUAUGCURAGAGUCGAUAGCAAGCCAGUUUACUGGUGAAGUGGCCGAUACCAUACUUCCAAGAAAAGUCUCUAAGCUUCAGUUACACAGGAAUCG